rnacentral:rRNA from 1 species
GACGAACGCUGGCGGCGUGCUUAACACAUGCAAGUCGAACGGAAAGGCCCUGCUUUUGUGGGGUGCUCGAGUGGCGAACGGGUGAGUAACACGUGAGUAACCUGCCCUUGACUUUGGGAUAACUUCAGGAAACUGGGGCUAAUACCGGAUAGGAGCUCCUGCUGCAUGGUGGGGGUUGGAAAGUUUCGGCGGUUGGGGAUGGACUCGCGGCUUAUCAGCUUGUUGGUGGGGUAGUGGCUUACCAAGGCUUUGACGGGUAGCCGGCCUGAGAGGGUGACCGGCCACAUUGGGACUGAGAUACGGCCCAGACUCCUACAGGAGGCAGCAGUGGGGAAUAUUGCACAAUGGGCGGAAGCCUGAUGCAGCAACGCCGCGUGCGCUAUGACGGCCUUCGGGUUGUAAACCGCUUUCGCCUGUGACGAAGCGUGAGUGACGGUAAUGGGUAAAGAAGCACCGGCUAACUACGUG